UACAGAGGUCCCGAGCGUUGUUCGGAUUCACUGGGCGUAAAGGGUGCGUAGGUGGCGAGGUAAGUCGGAUGUGAAAGCUCGGAGCUCAACUCCGAAAUGGCAUUGGAAACUACCUUGCUCGAGGGUUGGAGGGGGGACUGGAAUUCUCGGUGUAGCAGUGAAAUGCGUAGAUAUCGGGAGGAACACCGGUGGCGAAGGCGGGGUCUCUGGGCCGAUACUGACGCUGAGGAGCGAAAGCGUGGGGAGCGAACAGG
rnacentral:rRNA from 1 species